UACGUAGGGUGCAAGCGUUAAUCGGAAUUACUGGGCGUAAAGCGUGCGCAGGCGGUUGUGUAAGUCUGUCGUGAAAUCCCCGGGCUCAACCUGGGAAUUGCGAUGGAGACUGCACGGCUAGAGUGUGUCAGAGGGGGGUAGAAUUCCGCGUGUAGCAGUGAAAUGCGUAGAGAUGCGGAGGAACACCGAUGGCGAAGGCAGCCCCCUGGGCUAACACUGACGCUCAGGCACGAAAGCGUGGGGAGCAAACAGG
rnacentral:rRNA from 1 species